AUUGAACGCUGGCGGCAUGCCUUACACAUGCAAGUCGAACGGCAGCACGGGAGCAAUCCUGGUGGCGAGUGGCGAACGGGUGAGUAAUAUAUCGGAACGUGCCCAGUCGUGGGGAUAACGUAGCGAAAGCUACGCUAAUACCGCAUACGAUCUAUGGAUGAAAGCGGGGGAUCGCAAGACCUCGCGCGAUUGGAGCGGCCGAUAUCAGAUUAGGUAGUUGGUGAGGUAAAGGCUCACCAAGCCGACGAUCUGUAGCUGGUCUGAGAGGACGACCAGCCACACUGGGACUCGAGACACGGCCCAGACUCCUACGGGAGGCAGCAGUGGGGGAAUUUUUGGGACAAUGGGCGCAAGCCUGAUCCAGCAAUGCCGCGUGCAGGAUGAAGGCCUCGGUUGUAAC
rnacentral:rRNA from 1 species